rnacentral:lncRNA from 1 species
GUUAUUGACAGGCCCAUACGAAGAAAAGCCAGAAGAAAACACCAGCUGGCAGGAGGAGACCCUGGCCCCGUUUCCUGGCUCUUCAGGGCAAAAGCAAACAGACUGGGCCAGCAGGCAGGUGGUGGGGACCUGCUCGGCAGCUCUGCGAAAGCAAACACCCCACCUCAAGCACCCGGCCUCUUCCAAAGCCCAUCUUUGGCACGGAUCCCUGCAGGAGAAAGCCUUGAUGGAGGUCACAAAGCCGCCCCCUUGGCGCUGGUGCCAGCCGCGCGCUGGCAGCACCCCCCCCGAUUCCAAACACCGCCUCCAGCGCAGGAGACAGCAGAGGAGGAAACACGGAGCUUCAAAAUUGCCCAUCAGAGGGAAACCAGUGCCACACACCCCAUCAUCUCUGCAGUGGGAUCCAAACUCAGAGCAGGAAUAAAACUUCCCAGCUCCACUGCAGUGAACUGAUCGGCACUGAGGACCUGACAUUGAGUAAGGGAGCAAGACGACCCGUGUAGGUUGCUUUGGGUGAUGCGGUUCUUACUGUUGCAGAUGGAAGACUCAAUGGCAUACUAUAGACAUGUUUCUUCAUAGCAGCUGGAAAACGGAAAGAAAGGGAGAAAAUACCAGAAAAUGAAGGUCUUCUGCACAAGGACUGCUUGGUGGGUUGACCAAGGAGAUUAGGAUGUGUGUAGCCACCCCACACCAGGAGGAGAGGUGUGAGUAACGCAAGGCAAGAAGAGUUUGAAUGGAGCUCCAAAAAGCAGAGAAAUGGAGCAGAAAGAGCCCCUGUGAUGGGGCUCGCUAGGAACAAAUGCAAGAUAUUAUAAACUUGCAAAGAUCAUCAAAGAUCAUUGCACAGACAGGAUGGGUGCCAAUGAGCUGGGCAGCUAUGCAGAAAUGCUCCUGGGGUUGUAGUGGAUCCAAAGGUGAGGGAGCACCCGUAUGAACAGCUAGUAGGAGAAAAAAGAGCAUCCCAAGAGGCCGCAUCAACAGGAAAGCUCGCUGGCAGAAAGACAUGUAAUGAUGGUCUUCGUUUGUUUAGGCAUUGGGCUG